rnacentral:lncRNA from 1 species
CGAUUCUCCUGUAUCCGUUCUGGAGGACGAGGUGAUCUGCUCUUCCAAAGCCUCGGCUUAAAAAAACCCUAUGCCGAUUCCAUUUCCUUCUGUCGGGCGCGGUGUUUGAACUUCGUCCGUUUAGGUUUCCGGCCAAUUUCCGUCCUUCUUGGUCCUCGGAAGGAAAUUUCGGUCCUUUUACCCUGAUGAUGAUGAUGCGCUUGUUUUGCUUGAGAUCAGAAAAUGCCCGACGCCAAGGACGAGAGAAACGCCGGCGAUUCGAAGCUCGAGGCCGCUGCAGAUCAGUCACUGAACUCCGUCAGAGAGGAGGCGGCCGAUGUGUUUCAGGAGGCCGAUGACGGCGACGCUGGCCUCGUCACGGAGGUGAUGGCCAAGGAGGAAGAGGAGCUGUACCGGGCCCGGCUCAAGGCAGAGGAAGAGGAGGAGGCCAGGAGGAGGGAAGCUCGCAAGACUUUUGAUCCGAAUCAACGGUUCAGCA